GGGGCUGACCGGUUUUGACAGCAAGGAAGUGGAGUUGUAAGCAUGCCGAGUCCUCGUGAGCGGACCUCGUUAAAAGUCAGUUCACACAGCCAAUAACUGGCGACAAUUAUUCUUACAGACUGGCUGCUUAAUUUUAGAAAUUAAGCGCCUCUUGUCUCCCGGAAAACCUUUCUCAACGGUGUUCCGUACGAGGCAUCGCAAAAGUUGAGAUAGCCCUGACCCCGUUCCGUUGUCAGGGUAAAGCAACAGGAACUAAGGAUCGGAUGGGUUUGCUUCUGACCAGUCCGGGCCCGACAAUCAAUCAAAAGCUAAGCAUGUAGAAAGCAAUUUUGCUGCUUGUUUGGACGAGGGUUCGAAUCCCUCCAGCUCCACAG
rnacentral:tmRNA from 1 species